GAUGAAUUUAGAUUGUUUGAAUGAUUCAUUGCCCAAGUAUGGUGUCUUGUGAAUGAAGUCCAAUGGAAUAUAGAAAUGAAUUUAUUAGUAACGGGACUGGGCCAUGCAAUUAUAAAGGUGAUUUUAUUUUUCAUCUUAAACCUGGAUAUGUUGGGAGAUUCCAAAGAGAUUUCAUCGGAGGAGUUUUUUCAUGACAACAUGUUUCCGUUCUUUGACACGCCAACUACUCAGAAACCAUCUUUUGACGAAGCUGUAGAACAGUUUUUCGG